rnacentral:rRNA from 1 species
UUUUGUACAAUGGGGGACACCCUGAUCCAGCCAUCCCGCGUGUAUGAUGAAGGCCUUCGGGUUGUAAAGGACUUUUUGCAGAGAAGAACAGGAAUCCCCUAAUACGACAUACGUCUGACGGUUUCUGCCGAAUAAGCACCGGCUAACUCCGUGCAAGCAGCCGCGGUAAUACGUAGGGUGCAAGUGUUAAUCGGAAUUACUGGGCGUAAAGCGUGUAUAGGCGGUUAGGAAAGAAAGAUGUGAAAUCCCAGGGCUCAACCUUGGAACUGCAUUUUUAACUGCCGAGCUAGAGUAUGUCAGAGGGAGGUAGAAGUCCACGUGUAGCAGUGAAAUGCGUAGAUAUGUGGAGGAAUACCGAUGGCGAAGGCAGCCCCCUGGGAUAAUACUGACGCUCAGACACGAAAGCGUGGGGAGCAAACAG